rnacentral:rRNA from 1 species
UACGAAGGGGGCUAGCGUUGCUCGGAAUCACUGGGCGUAAAGGGUGCGUAGGCGGUCCUUUAAGUCAGGGGUUAAAUCCUGGAGCUCAACUCCAGAACUGCCUUUGAUACUGAAGAUCUUGAGUUCGGGAGAGGUGAGUGGAACUGCGAGUGUAGAGGUGAAAUUCGUAGAUAUUCGCAAGAACACCAGUGGCGAAGGCGGCUCACUGGCCCGAUACUGACGCUGAGGCACGAAAGCGUGGGGAGCAAACAGG